rnacentral:rRNA from 1 species
UACGUAGGGGGCGAGCGUUGUCCGGAGUUACUGGGCAUAAAGCGCACGCAGGCGGUCUGCUAAGUUUGGAGUGACAGUUGGUGGCUUAACUGCCAAAGUGCUUCGAAAACUGACAGACUUGAGGGCUUCAGAGGGACACGGAAUUCCGGGUGGAGUGGUGAAAUGCGUAGAGAUCCGGAGGAACACCAAAGGCGAAGGCAGUGUCCUGGGGAGUACCUGACGCUCAGGUGCGAAAGCCAGGGGAGCGAACAGG